rnacentral:rRNA from 1 species
AACGAACGCUGGCGGCAGGCCUAACACAUGCAAGUCGAACGCACCGCAAGGUGAGUGGCGCACGGGUGAGUAACACGUGGGAAUGUACCCUUUGGUUCGGAAUAACGUUUGGAAACGAACGCUAAUACCGGAUGAGCCCUGCGGGGGAAAGAUUUAUCGCCAAAGGAGCAGCCCGCGUCUGAUUAGCUAGUUGGUGGGGUAAAGGCCUACCAAGGCGACGAUCAGUAGCUGGUCUGAGAGGAUGAUCAGCCACACUGGGACUGAGACACGGCCCAGACUCCUACGGAGGCAGCAGUGGGGAAUAUUGGACAAUGGGCGCAAGCCUGAUCCAGCCAUGCCGCGUGAGUGAUGAAGGCCUUCGGGUUGUAAAGCUCUUUCGCACGCGACGAUGAUGACGGUAGCGUGAGAAGAAGCCCCGGCUAACUUCGUGCCAGCAGCCGCGGUAAU